AGAGUUUGAUCCUGGCUCAGGAUGAACGCUAGCUACAGGCUUAACACAUGCAAGUCGAGGGGAAACGGCAUUGAGUGCUUGCACUCUUUGGACGUCGACCGGCGCACGGGUGAGUAACGCGUAUCCAACCUUCCCAUGACUAAGGGAUAACCUGCCGAAAGGCAGACUAAUACCGCAUAGUCUUCGAUGACGGCAUCAGAUUUGAAGUAAAGAUUUAUCGGUAAUGGAUGGGGAUGCGUCUGAUUAGCUUGUUGGCGGGGUAACGGCCCACCAAGGCAACGAUCAGUAGGGGUUCUGAGAGGAAGGUCCCCCACAUUGGAACUGAGACACGGUCCAAACUCCUACGGGAGGCAGCAGUGAGGAAUAUUGGUCAAUGGACGGAAGUCUGAACCAGCCAAGUAGCGUGCAGGAUGACGGCCCUAUGGGUUGUAAACUGCUUUUGUAUGGGGAUAAAGUCAAUCACGUGUGAUUGUUUGCAGGUACCAUACGAAUAAGGACCGGCUAAUUCCGUGCCAGCAGCCGCGGUAAUACGGAAGGUCCAGGCGUUAUCCGGAUUUAUUGGGUUUAAAGGGAGCGUAGGCUGGAGAUUAAGUGUGUUGUGAAAUGUAGACGCUCAACGUCUGACUUGCAGCGCAUACUGGUUUCCUUGAGUACGCACAACGUUGGCGGAAUUCGUCGUGUAGCGGUGAAAUGCUUAGAUAUGACGAAGAACUCCGAUUGCGAAGGCAGCUGACGGGAGCGCAACUGACGCUUAAGCUCGAAGGUGCGGGUAUCAAACAGGAUUAGAUACCCUGGUAGUCCGCACAGUAAACGAUGGAUGCCCGCUGUUGGUACCUGGUAUCAGCGGCU
rnacentral:rRNA from 1 species